rnacentral:rRNA from 1 species
UACGUAGGUGGCAAGCGUUGUCCGGAAUUAUUGGGCGUAAAGAGCGCGCAGGUGGUUACUUAAGUCUGAUGUGAAAGCCCACGGCUCAACCGUGGAGGGUCAUUGGAAACUGGGGAACUUGAGUGCAGAAGAGGAAAGUGGAAUUCCAAGUGUAGCGGUGAAAUGCGUAGAGAUUUGGAUGAACACCAGUGGCGAAGGCGACUUUCUGGUCUGUAACUGACACUGAGGCGCGAAAGCGUUGGGAGCAAACAGG